rnacentral:piRNA from 1 species
UGCUGCUGACAACUGGAUCUUGGACUUCUG